AGACAAUUAUGCAUCCAUGUUUUACUUACAUUCUUCCCUUUCAGGUUUUUAGUUUUGUUGAAGCUACAAACAAACAAAAAACCCCCGAACUUGCUGUAGAUUUUACCACAGCUGCAGAGUAGAAAAUGUCUUGCCACACAGAGCCUUGUGUCCUCGGUGGGCUGAACGCAUCUCUGUCAAGGACUACUCUGAAAGUACAGUGAAAGUCAGAAAAGUGGACAAAAUAGAAUGGUUAUAGUUGUGUGAAUUCAGAAGUACAACAUAUAGGAACCACGCUGAGUGUUUCAUAGCACUUUCUGGACACGUAACAUUGAUAAAGUUCUUUCACUGCUACUUCUGCGAGCGCUGCACAGCAAGAGGCAUUCCAUUCCUUUACCGCCGCUGAUAAAUGAGUUGAAUUAUUAGGACUGAAGACAUCAGAAAUAGAAAGAACUUGGCAUGAUUAUCAAAUCAAUCUGCAGCAAGUUUUAGGACAAAUAACAGUGUGGUCUUUCAAAUGCCAAAGUAAACAGCUUGCAUUAGAGGCACCAAGGAGACAAUAAAAGGUGCAUCCAUACUGUGCCAUUUGAAGUUUCUUUUCAGAAUAUUAGCUUUCAGAAUAUUACUGCCCUUCAAACAUUAUGACCAUACUCACAAUUCAGAGAUGAAUUGUUAAUGCACCAGAGGGCAGAUGAUAUUGGAUAUGAAAAGAAAUGUGAAUUCCUGAAAACAGCAAAGCCUGUGAAGUUCUAUUACAACAGGGGCUUUUAGGGAUUCAUGGGUCUGUUCAUGCCCUUGAGGAGAUCACAGUGUCCAAAUACCAUGCUGGUUACGAAGAACUUGGAGUGCAUGGACAUCUGGUAAUUAAAAUCACAAUAUAUAAUAGAAGGAGUUUACAAAUGUGCUGAAGGCUCUGUGUCUGCUUGCUGUAAGCCUUCUUGCCUGAAGAAGAGAAAGAGGAUUCACUCUCCCUUUGCUCCAGGAUGUGCUGCCUUUUCCAGACCUGGCCUGUUGAUAUUUUGUAGAAGAGAGCAUCUUGUUUGUAAUUACAGAUACAGACUAGGUCACCUACCUGUCACUGGAAUUACAUUCAUUGUCUCUGUUUUCCCUCUCUAAUAAAUUUGGCAUAAAAUAUUUCCUAUGAU